ensembl:rRNA 5S_rRNA 5S ribosomal RNA
GCUUACGGCCAUACCACCCUGAGCACGCCCGAUCUCGUCUGAUCUCGGAGGCUCAGCAGGGUCGGGCCUGGUUAGUACUUGGAUGGGAGACCGCCUGGGAAUACCAGGUGCUGUAAGCG